UGCUUCGGCCGGGAAUCGAACCCGGGGCGCCCGCGUGGCAGGCGAGCAUUCUACGGUGACAGAAUUGU